AGACGUCUACAUUAGAUACCCGUGUAGUCCCAGCCGUAAAUUAUGCUCGCUAGGUGUCAGGGACGGUGCGACCGUUUCUGGUGCCGCAGGGAAGCCGUGAAGCGAGCCACCUGGGAAGUACGGUCGCAAGGCUGAAACUUAAAGGAAUUGCGGGGGAGCACCACAACGGGUGGAGCCUGCGGUUUAAUCGGACUCAACGCCGGGAAUCUCACCGGAUAAGACAGCUGAAUGAUAGUCGGGAUGAAGACUCUACUUGACUAGCUG
rnacentral:rRNA from 1 species